rnacentral:rRNA from 1 species
CAACCCGGGAUUGCCUUAGUAACGGCGAGUGAAGCGGCAAAAGCUCAAAUUUGAAAUCUGGUACCUUCGGUGCCCGAGUUGUAAUUUGGAGAGGGCAACUUUGGGGCCGUUCCUUGUCUAUGUUCCUUGGAACAGGACGUCAUAGAGGGUGAGAAUCCCGUGUGGCGAGGAGUGCGGUUCUUUGUAGAGUGCCUUCGAAGAGUCGAGUUGUUUGGGAAUGCAGCUCUAAGUGGGUGGUAAAUUCCAUCUAAAGCUAAAUAUUGGCGAGAGACCGAUAGCGAACAAGUACAGUGAUGGAAAGAUGAAAAGAACUUUGAAAAGAGAGUGAAAAAGUACGUGAAAUUGUUGAAAGGGAAGGGCAUUUGAUCAGACAUGGUGUUUUGUGCCCUCUGCUCCUUGUGGGUAGGGGAAUCUCGCAUUUCACUGGGCCAGCAUCAGUUUUGGUGGCAGGAUAAAUCCAUAGGAAUGUAGCUUGCCUCGGUAAGUAUUAUAGCCUGUGGGAAUACUGCCAGCUGGGACUGAGGACUGCGACGUAAGUCAAGGAUGCUGGCAUAAUGGUUAUAUGCCGCCCGUCUUGAAACCCGGGACCA